rnacentral:rRNA from 1 species
UCAGCGGCGGACGGGUGAGUAACACGUGGGCAACCUGCCUGUAAGACUGGGAUAACUCCGGGAAACCGGAGCUAAUACCGGAUAGUAUCUUGAACCGCAUGGUUCAAGUUGGAAAGACGGUUUCGGCUGUCACUUACAGAUGGGCCCGCGGCGCAUUAGCUAGUUGGUGAGGUAAUGGCUCACCAAGGCAACGAUGCGUAGCCGACCUGAGAGGGUGAUCGGCCACACUGGGACUGAGACACGGCCCAGACUCCUACGGGAGGCAGCAGUAGGGAAUCUUCCGCAAUGGACGAAAGUCUGACGGAGCAACGCCGCGUGAGUGAUGAAGGUUUUCGGAUCGUAAAACUCUGUUGUUAGGGAAGAACAAGUGCGAGAGUAACUGCUCGCACCUUGACGGUACCUAACCAGAAAGCCACGGCUAACUACGUGCCAGCAGCCGCGGUAAUACGUAGGUGGCAAGCGUUGUCCGGAAUUAUUGGGCGUAAAGCGCGCGCAGGCGGUUUCUUAAGUCUGAUGUGAAAGCCCCCGGCUCAACCGGGGAGGGUCAUUGGAAACUGGGAAACUUGAGUGCAGAAGAGGAGAGUGGAAUUCCACGUGUAGCGGUGAAAUGCGUAGAGAUGUGGAGGAACACCAGUGGCGAAGGCGACUCUCUGGUCUGUAACUGACGCUGAGGCGCGAAAGCGUGGGGAGCGAACAGGAU